GACGAACGCUGGCGGCGUGCUUAACACAUGCAAGUCGAACGGAAAGGCCCUGCUUGCAGGGUGCUCGAGUGGCGAACGGGUGAGUAACACGUGGGUGAUCUGCCCCUUACUUUGGGAUAAGCCUGGGAAACUGGGUCUAGUACUGGAUAGGACCAUGCUGUAGGUGGUGUGGUGGAAAGAUUAGUUUCGGUAAGGGAUGAGCUCGCGGCCUAUCAGCUUGUUGGUGGGGUAAUGGCCUACCAAGGCGUCGACGGGUAGCCGGCCUGAGAGGGUGGACGGCCACAUUGGGACUGAGAUACGGCCCAGACUCCUACGGGAGGCAGCAGUGGGGAAUAGUGCACAAUGGGCGCAAGCCUGAUGCAGCGACGCCGCGUGGGGGAUGACGGCCUUCGGGUUGUAAACUCCUUUCAGCCAUGACGAAGCCCUUGUGGUGACGGUAGUGGUAGAAGAAGCACCGGCUAACUACGUG
rnacentral:rRNA from 1 species